UACAGAGGGGGCAAGCGUUAUUCGGAUUCAUUGGGCGUAAAGGGUGCGUAGGCGGCGCGGUAAGUCGGGUGUGAAAUUUCGAGGCUUAACUUCGAAACUGCAUUCGAUACUGCCGUGCUUGAGGACUGGAGAGGAGACUGGAAUUUACGGUGUAGCGGUGAAAUGCGUAGAUAUCGUAAGGAAGACCAGUGGCGAAGGCGGGUCUCUGGACAGUUCCUGACGCUGAGGCACGAAGGCCAGGGGAGCAAACGGG
rnacentral:rRNA from 1 species